rnacentral:lncRNA from 1 species
AAGCCCAGCCAUGGAAUGAUGAGGUAGAGGAGCACUGAAGCAGAGGACACAGCUAGGGUGGGAAGCAGCUGGCACAUGGGGAUAGCUGCAGUGUGGUGGGAGAGGAGAGCGGGGAAGCUGGGCCUUAUUAGGUUUAAUCCACAAGCCAGGCUGGAACAGCCAUCUCUGCAGUCAGCUUUAUGGAGUGCAGAAAAUCUAUGUCAGCAGCAAGUUACACAGCCGCAAUGAGAAGUUGCUAUUUGCUGCGUGCUCUCUGCACAGGCCUGGCCACCCGUGAACCAGCAACACCAUGGAAGGCAGCAUCCACAGGAAUCUGUACUGUGACGGGCAGAAAGGAGGCUGAUUUCCUACCUCUCGAACAGACUGGGAAAUAUCUUCUGAUUGUUGAAGAAGACACCAUCAACACAUUCACUAUCAGGAAAGUAUGGCACCUCUAGAUCAUUCUACCGGCACUGAUGACGUCUCCCCCAACAACAUUUCCACAGAAGAAUUCCUCAAGAUUCCUCAGAACUUCUGGCUCCUACUUCUCUAGCUUUGUUUGGGUAAUUUCUUUCAUACUGAGAAAGAUAAAUUCAAUAAAAUCAU